rnacentral:rRNA from 1 species
CGGAUUCUGGCUCAGGAUGAACGCUAGCUACAGGCUUAACACAUGCAAGUCGAGGGGCAGCAUUGGGAUAGCUUGCUAUUCCAGAUGGCGACCGGCGCACGGGUGAGUAACGCGUAUCCAACCUUCCCUAUAGUAGAGAAUAGCCCGGCGAAAGUCGGAUUAAUGCUCUAUGUUGUGUUUUUGAGGACAUCUGACGAACACCAAAGGUUCACCGCUAUAGGAUGGGGAUGCGUCUGAUUAGCUUGUUGGCGGGGUAACGGCCCACCAAGGCGACGAUCAGUAGGGGUUCUGAGAGGAAGGUCCCCCACAUUGGUACUGAGACACGGACCAAACUCCUACGGGAGGCAGCAGUGAGGAAUAUUGGUCAAUGGGCGAGAGCCUGAACCAGCCAAGUAGCGUGCAAGGAUGACUGCCCUAUGGGUUGUAAACUGCUUUUAUCAGGGAAUAAAGUGCGGCACGUGUGCCGUUUUGUAUGUACCUGAUGAAUAAGGACCGGCUAAUUCCGUGCCAGCCGCCGC